GUAAUGAUAGCUUAGCUCAAAGCAUCGGCCUUGUAAGUCGAAAAUUGAAGGUUCAAAUCCCUCUCAUUACU
ensembl:Mt_tRNA